CUUCACACCGCGAGCGGGCGCGCACCCCACACCGAGAAAAACGUGAGAGAAAAGAAAAAGAGACUAGCUGUCCGGAGGAUAAUCAGCUGAGAUUGUGUGUCUUUGAGAACUAGAAGACUCGCAGGAUGAACUCGCCCUCCUGGUGCGGCUCGUACGUGGAGGGAAUGAUGACAUACUCCCCGGGGCUCAGGCGGAAGCGCUGGGUCACCUCGCGCAGGUUGAUGUAGGACUUGCAGCGAGCUUUGGAGGAGGUCAACAGGAAGAACUCCUUCGGCAUGUGCUGCUUGUUCCCGUGCAUCUGGAAGGGGGGGGUUCACAACGG